rnacentral:sRNA from 1 species
ACUCAUUUAUGGUCAACUACUAUAUAUAGAUUUGUAAAGGAGACAUAUUACAGUCCGUUGUGAUUUUGAGUUUUUAAAUCUGUUUUGUAUUUUCUUUGGUUCCUUGUGUGUUAGAAAGAGGUUAUGGAAAUAUACAAGUCCAGUUAAAUGUCUCCAAAUCCUGGUCAUUUUAAAUACAUAUAAUAUAUGAUUUUACCGUAGACAGUGAUAAUUGUUUGUCUAUAUUGUCUUGAAAACUUAAAGCUAUACACGCUAUAAUUUACGUCAAUUUUGAAUGACAGUGAAAACGCAUGUGUUUGUCUACUUAUAAAAGUUAUCCUUAAUCUGUAAAUUACAAUGGUGAAUUCCAUCUCGUUACAAAGAUAUAGAUUUUUGAUUGUUUAUUUUCCUGCCAGGAAAAUAUACCUUUUCAUGAAUAUUGAUGAAGGAAGAACGAAACCGACCUCAUUGCGCAUGUCCGCGGAGAACUAGGUGGUCGUUAUUGUUUGCCUAAUUAAAUAUCUAACUUGAUUUUUAAUAUGCUUAACAGCUGUUAAUUUGAAAUACAUACAUGUAUAAUCAGUAAAAUACGUUUGUCAAUCACGAUACCCUUACUUCUGCAUUAACACUUAUAGGAUCUAUAAAUAGCACAUAGGGGAAACACACAGGUCUACGUCAUUUUUUUAAAGGAAGUAUUCAUAUCUACUCACAGGCUUGUAUUUUUUUCUUUUGUUUGUACUCGUAUAUCGGACAAAUGUAUGCUUUACUGAAAAUAUCCUUUCCUUUGUGAAACUAUCACAAUUAUGAAGAUGUUGACCCUUCACCAGUUUUGGUAUGAUAGACUAAAUUUAGCUGUCGAUAUCACGUGAUAAAUUGAUAUUCACGAGGAGGCAUUACUUUCCUGGCAGGAAAAUAAAUAUUUUUUAUUGUUUAAUAUUUGAUAAAUUUGUUACGUGAUCGAAUUGAGCAUUAUAAUUAACAGCAUAUAGGUAACUUUUAUUAGUAAUCAAACACAUACAUUUUCCCCUUAAUUCAAAAUUGACGCAAAUUAUAGCAUGUAUACCUUUAACUUAUAUUUAUUCUUCUCCUGAGAAAACAUUUUUAAAGUUGUCACAUUAAAAUUCAUCAUUGUAUAUAAUUAGUUUCGUAUUUUAACUACACCACAUAUCCCGUGGUGAGCCCCUUAGUAUUUUAGUCUGACGUAUUUGUUAAUACCCAUAUUGAACCUCAGUUCACUGGGCCUUAAACCCGCCAGUCCGUGCAGUAUCAGUUUGGACGCGGCAGUCCAGAGGGAAGGACGCACUUAUACCUCUCCCGUGCAUACCAUCCAGUCACUAUGCAUUUUUUAAUAUAAAUAGCUGUGUGCUAACUCUGGGGUGAACCUGGUACUGGCUUUUUCUGAGGUGAGGUUUAUUAAUUGUCAAUUUUAUCGUCAUUUCGUUCAUAACUGUACUACAACACCCAGUCAUGGUAUUUCAAUCGUUUUUAUGCUUAUUUGUUACGUUUGAAUUUAAAUGUCUAUGUUUAGAUACACGUGUUUGAAUCUAUUAUAAGUAUGGCGGACUAUUAUGGUCAUAUUCCUUUUGUAGUAAUGAGUAGUAUUAUGCAACACUGCAUUUAAGUAAUUGAGUUAGUAUUUUGUGAGUGUAAAAGCUAACAUGCUUUAUAGUAAGUCUUCUUUAAGACUGUAUAUCAGUAUUUUGUGUGUAAUAAGCGUCUAUGCUAAGUGUGUCAUUCAUGACCGUAUAGCCUGUAAGUAAAGUAUGGUGCGUAUUGGUGUAAAAGCCACAGUUGCUUUUGUCAUGUACUUAAUGUGUUUGUGUAUUAUGUUGGCGCAGGUCCCUUGUUCCAUCUUUUGUGUAAACCACUUUCAUCGAUGGUGGCCGAGUAUUGGUGACGUCUUGUGUAGACCAAGUGGCCAGUAGAGAACAUUGUCUAGUGGAGGACCUCACCAGUCCAUUCUUGUCAAGACCAAGUGGCAAUAGACAGCAGUGGAGGACCUUACCAGUUCCCAUACUAGGACAAUUACUUUCUAUAUGUAUUGAUUCAAACUAUAUUAAAUAUGUAAAAACAAUGU